rnacentral:rRNA from 1 species
AUGGCCACGGCUACUGGUCAGAGCCGGCGCCGGUGUACCGACAGCCGCCCAUCGUCGCCGUCCACGAGGCCGGGCACAAAGCCUACCAAGAAGGCGCACCGAAAGCCGAGCACGCCGCCUACUUGCAAGACCAGGCUGGCAGCGAGACGCCGCCGAGGCAUCCUGCGUGGCACAGCAAGGUCGGCGUCGAAGCUGGCAACGGCGACUACACACCGCGCCCCCACGAAGCUGCGACUGAUCACCGGGUCCGGGAGCACGCCGCCAUGGAUUACCACCACUACCCAACCACUACCACUGCUCUCGCGAGGUACGAGGUGGCUAGUCGUUAGGAUUAGCUAG